rnacentral:rRNA from 1 species
UACACUCCUACGGGAGGCAGCAGUGGGGAAUUUUGGACAAUGGGCGAAAGCCUGAUCCAGCCAUGCCGCGUGCAGGAUGAAGGCCUUCGGGUUGUAAACUGCUUUUGUACGGAACGAAACGGCCUUUUCUAAUAAAGAGGGCUAAUGACGGUACCGUAAGAAUAAGCACCGGCUAACUACGUGCCAGCAGCCGCGGUAAUACGUAGGGUGCAAGCGUUAAUCGGAAUUACUGGGCGUAAAGCGUGCGCAGGCGGUUAUGUAAGACAGUUGUGAAAUCCCCGGGCUCAACCUGGGAACUGCAUCUGUGACUGCAUAGCUAGAGUACGGUAGAGGGGGAUGGAAUUCCGCGUGUAGCAGUGAAAUGCGUAGAUAUGCGGAGGAACACCGAUGGCGAAGGCAAUCCCCUGGACCUGUACUGACGCUCAUGCACGAAAGCGUGGGGAGCAAACAGGAUUAGAUACCCUAGUAGUCCCAU